AUUGAACGCUGGCGGCAGGCUUAACACAUGCAAGUCGAGCGGAGAGAGGUAGCUUGCUACUGAUCUUAGCGGCGGACGGGUGAGUAAUGCUUAGGAAUCUGCCUAUUAGUGGGGGACAACAUUUCGAAAGGAACGCUAAUACCGCAUACGCCCUACGGGAGAAAGCAGGGGACCUUCGGGCCUUGCGCUAUCAGAUGAGCCUGGGUCGGAUUAGCUAGUUGGUGGGGUAAUGGCUCACCAAGGCAACGAUCCGUAACUGGCCUGAGAGGAUGAUCCGCCCCACUGGGACCGGGACACGGCCCAGACUCCUACGGGAGGCAGCAGUGGGGAAUAUUGGACAAUGGGCGCAAGCCUGAUCCAGCCAUGCCGCGUGUGUGAAGAAGGCCUUCGGGUUGUAAAGCACUUUCAGCGAGGAGGAAGGGGUGUGUGUUAAUAGUACACACCUUUGACGUUACUCGCAGAAGAAGCACCGGCUAACUCUGUGCCAGCCGCCGCAGUAACAC
rnacentral:rRNA from 1 species